UACGUAGGGGGCAAGCGUUGUUCGGAAUUACUGGGCGUAAAGGGCGCGUAGGCGGCACGGCAAGUCGGGAGUGAAAGCCCGGGGCUCAACCCCGGAGGGUCUUCCGAAACUGCCGGGCUAGAGUGCGGAAGAGGCAACCGGAAUUCCCAGUGUAGCGGUGAAAUGCGUAGAUAUUGGGAGGAACACCUGUGGCGAAGGCGGCCCCCUGGUUGGAUACUGACGCUGAGACGCGAAAGCGUGGGGAGCAAACAGG
rnacentral:rRNA from 1 species